rnacentral:lncRNA from 1 species
GAAACAUCCUCAAAAGAGCUUACAUAAGGGCUAUGUGGGGUGAAGAUUUUAUAGUGAGGCAUGACGAAUUCAGUUCCAAAUUUUUCAAAAUUCGAAUGAGUUCCUUUUUUCGUAGAAUUAAGGGUUCAAAGGAUGGACCGACAUAAAUCAGGGGGUUCAUAGUUUAAAAAUCCCCAGAGUUACAGAGCUCAAAGUCCUACAAAGAGCAGAGGAAGUUCUGGAACACGACACUCAAAGGCACGGUGAUGCCUGAAGCCGGUGUUCAUUCUCAGCCACCACGCACGGCACUCGGAAAUUGGACCCCACGGUUUCAGCACCCUCCCUGGUUCUGUUCAGUCCCUGGUUUCACUGCUUCAACAUAUCGUUUGUCAGUGCCUGUUCCGUACCUGGAACGUGACCCAGUCGGUGUCCUCAUAAGCUCGCAGUGUCGUGCAGGAAUGGGUGGUUGGGAUGAAAGAUGGCGGUGUAGGAGGAUGCUGGGCUCACCUAGUCCUGCUGAUCGCUUUGAUUCCACCCACAUCUGCCUAAACAGCCCAGAAAACCGCCAGAAGACUAGCCGAACGGACUCUCCGGAGCCAAGUGUAGACAAGAGGCCCACGGAAGAGGGUAGGAAGGGCGGAGGGGUGGAGAGGUGGUGCGUGCUCCUUGGGCUGGCUGGAGGGAACCGGACGGCGGAGGGGCAGCCCGCCUGGCAAGGUAGAGCCCCCGAGUCUGACUUGCAAAAACAGAAG